rnacentral:misc_RNA from 1 species
CGGUUCGAGUCCGCCUACCUCCACUGAAAACUACCCUGAUAACUAAACUUCAGGAGAAAAUUAGUAAAUGUGACUUAGAUUUGUCUAUAUUGAAUAAAAGAUCCUAGCUUCUUGUCAUCUUUUAAGAGUUGAUAACAUGCUGGGCUCACAUGGAAUUAUCCAUGAGAAUUCAGUA